rnacentral:rRNA from 1 species
ACUCCUACGGGAGGCAGCAGUGGGGAAUAUUGCACAAUGGGCGCAAGCCUGAUGCAGCCAUGCCGCGUGUAUGAAGAAGGCCUUCGGGUUGUAAAGUACUUUCAGCAGUGAGGAAGGUGGAUAUGUUAAUAGCAUAUUCAUUUGACGUUAGCUGCAGAAGAAGCACCGGCUAACUCCGUGCCAGCAGCCGCGGUAAUACGGAGGGUGCGAGCGUUAAUCGGAAUUACUGGGCGUAAAGCGCAUGCAGGUGGUUUGUUAAGUCAGAUGUGAAAGCCCGGGGCUCAACCUCGGAAUUGCAUUUGAAACUGGCAAACUAGAGUACUGUAGAGGGGGGUAGAAUUUCAGGUGUAGCGGUGAAAUGCGUAGAGAUCUGAAGGAUACCGGUGGCGAAGGCGGCCCCCUGGACAGAUACUGACACUCAGAUGCGAAAGCGUGGGGAGCAAACAGGAUUAGAUACCCCGGGAGGCUCUGC